GACGAACCGUGCGAACGUUGUUCGGAAUCACUGGGCUUAAAGGGCGCGUAGGCGGGUUCGCAAGUCUGUGGUGAAAGCCUCCAGCUUAACUGGAGAAGUGCCGUGGAUACUGCGAAUCUUGAGGAGGGUAGGGGCGUCUGGAACGGUCGGUGGAGCGGUGAAAUGCGUUGAUAUCGACCGGAACUUCGGUGGCGAAGGCGAGGCGCUGGACCCUUUCUGACGCUGAGGCGCGAAAGCCAGGGGAGCAAACGGG
rnacentral:rRNA from 1 species